rnacentral:RNase_P_RNA from 1 species
GCGAGAGGGCGGGCAGCCGCCCCGGCAACGGGGAGGAAAGUCCGGGCUCCACAGGGCAGGGUGCUGGAAAACUUCCAGUCGGGGUAACCCGAAGGAAAGUGCAACAGAGAGCAGACCGCCGGACUUCGGUCCGGUGAGGGUGAAACGGUGAGGUAAGAGCUCACCAGCGGUUCGGGUGACCGGACCGGAUUGGCAAACCCCACCCGGAGCAAGAC